AACGAACGCUGGCGGCAGGCCUAACACAUGCAAGUCGAGCGAAGCCUUCGGGCUUAGCGGCGGACGGGUGAGUAACGCGUGGGAACGUGCCCUUUGGUACGGAAUAGCCCCGGGAAACUGGGAGUAAUACCGUAUGUGGUCGAGAGACGAAAGAUUUAUCGCCAAAGGAUCGGCCCGCGUUGGAUUAGGUAGUUGGUGGGGUAAUGGCCUACCAAGCCGACGAUCCAUAGCUGGUUUGAGAGGUUGAUCAGCCACACUGGGACUGAGACACGGCCCAGACUCCUACGGGAGGCAGCAGUGGGGAAUCUUAGACAAUGGGGGAAACCUUGAUCUAGCCAUGCCGCGUGAUCGAUGAAGGCCUUAGGGUUGUAAAGAUCUUUCAGUGGGGGAGAUAAUGACUGUACCCACAGAAGAAGCCCCGGCUAACUCCGUGCCAGCCGCCGCGGUAACAC
rnacentral:rRNA from 1 species